rnacentral:rRNA from 1 species
AUUGAACGCUGGCGGCAGGCCUAACACAUGCAAGUCGAGCGGUAACAGGGGUAGCUUGCUACCCGCUGACGAGCGGCGGACGGGUGAGUAAUGCAUAGGAAUCUGCCCGGUAGUGGGGGAUAACCUGGGGAAACCCAGGCUAAUACCGCAUACGUCCUACGGGAGAAAGGGGGCUUCGGCUCCCGCUAUUGGAUGAGCCUAUGUCGGAUUAGCUAGUUGGUGAGGUAAAGGCUCACCAAGGCAACGAUCCGUAGCUGGUCUGAGAGGAUGAUCAGCCACAUCGGGACUGAGACACGGCCCGAACUCCUACGGGAGGCAGCAGUGGGGAAUAUUGGACAAUGGGGGCAACCCUGAUCCAGCCAUGCCGCGUGUGUGAAGAAGGCCCUCGGGUUGUAAAGCACUUUCAGCGAGGAAGAACGCCUAGUGGUUAAUACCCGUUAGGAAAGACAUCACUCGCAGAAGAAGCACCGGCUAACUCCGUGCCAGCAGCCGCGGUAAUACGGAGGGUGCAAGCGUUAAUCGGAAUUACUGGGCGUAAAGCGCGCGUAGGUGGCUUGAUAAGCCGGUUGUGAAAGCCCCGGGCUCAACCUGGGAACGGCAUCCGGAACUGUCAGGCUAGAGUGCAGGAGAGGAAGGUAGAAUUCCCGGUGUAGCGGUGAAAUGCGUAGAGAUCGGGAGGAAUACCAGUGGCGAAGGCGGCCUUCUGGACUGACACUGACACUGAGGUGCGAAAGCGUGGGUAGCAAACAGGAUUAGAUACCCUGGUAGUCCACGCCGUAAACGAUGUCGACCAGCCGUUGGGUGCCUAGAGCACUUUGUGGCGAAGUUAACGCGAUAAGUCGACCGCCUGGGGAGUACGGCCGCAAGGUUAAAACUCAAAUGAAUUGACGG